rnacentral:rRNA from 1 species
AACGAACGCUGGCGGCAGGCCUAACACAUGCAAGUCGAACGCCGUAGCAAUACGGAGUGGCAGACGGGUGAGUAACGCGUGGGAACCUUCCCAGUGGUACGGAAUAACUCAGGGAAACUUGAGCUAAUACCGUAUACGCCCCUCGGGGGAAAGAUUUAUCGCCAUUGGAUGGGCCCGCGUCGGAUUAGCUAGUUGGUGAGGUAACGGCUCACCAAGGCGACGAUCCGUAGCUGGUCUGAGAGGAUGAUCAGCCACACUGGGACUGAGACACGGCCCAGACUCCUACGGGAGGCAGCAGUGGGGAAUAUUGGACAAUGGGCGCAAGCCUGAUCCAGCCAUGCCGCGUGAGUGACGAAGGCCUUAGGGUUGUAAAGCUCUUCCGGCGGGGAAGAUAAUGACGGUACCCGCAGAAUAAGCUCCGGCUAACUUCGUGCCAGCCGCCGCCGUAACAC